rnacentral:tRNA from 1 species
GCGCGAGUGGCGAAACUGGCAGACGCGCAGGAUUUAGGUUCCUGUGUCCUCGGACGUGGGGGUUCAAGUCCCCCCUCGCGCA